UACGUAGGGACCGAGCGUUGUCCGGAAUCAUUGGGCGUAAAGAGCGUGUAGGCGGCUUUACAGGUCCGUUGUGAAAACUCGAGGCUCAACCUCGAGACGCCGGUGGAAACCGUAAAGCUAGAGUCCGGAAGAGGAGAGUGGAAUUCCUGGUGUAGCGGUGAAAUGCGCAGAUAUCAGGAGGAACACCCGUGGCGAAAGCGGCUCUCUGGGACGGUACUGACGCUGAGACGCGAAAGCGUGGGGAGCAAACAGG
rnacentral:rRNA from 1 species